rnacentral:rRNA from 1 species
UGGGGAAUUUUGGACAAUGGGCGCAAGCCCGAUCCAGCCAUGCCGCGUGUGUGAAGAAGGCCUUCGGGUUGUAAAGCACUUUCGGCCGGAACGAAAUCGCGCGGAUUAAUAACCCGCGCGGAUGACGGUACCGGAAGAAGAAGCACCGGCCAACUACGCGCCAGCAGCCGCGGUAAUACGUAGGGUGCGAGCGUUAAUCGGAAUUACUGGGCGUAAAGGGUGCGCAGGCGGUCCUGCAAGUCAGGCGUGGAAUCCCCGGGCUUAACCUGGGAAUGGCGCUUGAAACUACGGGACUGGAGUAUGGCAGAGGGAGGUGGAAUUCCACGUGUAGCGGUGAAAUGCGUAGAGAUGUGGAGGAACACCGAUGGCGAAGGCAGCCUCCUGGGCCAAUACUGACGCUCAUGCACGAAAGCGUGGGGAGCAAACAGG